UACGUAGGGGGCAAGCGUUGUCCGGAAUCAUUGGGCGUAAAGAGCGUGUAGGCGGCCCGGUAAGUCCGCUGUGAAAGUCCAGGGCUCAACCCUGGGAUGCCGGUGGAUACUGUCGGGCUCGAGUCCGGAAGAGGAGUGUGGAAUUCCUGGUGUAGCGGUGAAAUGCGCAGAUAUCAGGAGGAACACCGAUGGCGAAAGCAGGUACCUGGACCAUUACUGACGCUCAGCUGCGAAAGCUAGGGGAGCAAACAGG
rnacentral:rRNA from 1 species